rnacentral:rRNA from 1 species
AUUGAACGCUGGCGGCAUGCUUUACACAUGCAAGUCGAACGGCAGCGCGGGCUUCGGCCUGGCGGCGAGUGGCGAACGGGUGAGUAAUGCAUCGGAACGUGCCCAGUAGUGGGGGAUAGCCCGGCGAAAGCCGGAUUAAUACCGCAUACGACCUGAGGGUGAAAGCGGGGGACCGAAAGGCCUCGCGCUAUUGGAGCGGCCGAUGUCGGAUUUGCUAGUUGGUGGGGUAAAGGCUUACCAAGGCGACGAUCCGUAGCUGGUCUGAGAGGACGACCAGCCACCCUGGAACUGAGACACGGCCCAGACUCCUACGGGAGGCAGCAGUGGGGAAUUUUGGACAAUGGGGGCAACCCUGAUCCAGCCAUGCCGCGUGCGGGAAGAAGGCCUUCGGGUUGUAAACCGCUUUUGUUCGGGAAGAAAUCCUCUGGGCUAAUACCCCGGGGGGAUGACGGUACCGGAAGAAUAAGCACCGGCUAACUACGUG